AGGAUUAUAGUUUAUUUAAAACAUUUAGCUUGCAACUAAAAAAUACACGAGUUAACCCUU
rnacentral:tRNA from 2 species